rnacentral:rRNA from 1 species
GACGAACGCUGGCGGCGUGCUUAACACAUGCAAGUCGAACGGAGUGGCGAACGGGUGAGUAACACGUGGGUGAUCUGCCUUGCACUUCGGGAUAAGCUUGGGAAACUGGGUCUAAUACCGGAUAGUGCAAGAUGAGCUCGCGGCCUAUCAGAUAGGUGGUGGGGUAAUGGCCUACCAAGGCGUCGACGGGUAGCCGGCCUGGGAGGGUGUACGGCCACAUUGGGAGUGAGAUACGGCCCAGAAUCCUACGGGGGGCAGCGGGGGGGAAUAUUGCACAAUGGUGGGAAGCCUGAUGCAGCGACGCCGGGUGGGGGAUGAAGGCCUUCGGGUUGUAAACUCCUUUCGACAGGGACGCGGUACCUGGAUAAGAAGCACCGGCUAACUACGUGCCAGCAGCCGCGGUAAUUC